UUUAAAGUGACAAUUGCCAAGAAGUUUCUUCAUUACUAUCAUCGAAGAUUUUCUAACAGCAAAUAGUUUGCCCCAGCACAGAAGUGGUCAGACUCAUUCAUUCAGUGCUGACAGCUCAGCUCUAUGAGUGCCACUCCUGCCUGCCAGCUCUACAACUUCUCUCAUGCACCCUCCUCCCCUCUUCUCUCUGUGCAAGAUGGGAAGCAAUAGUCAUCAUGGGUCUAUGAUCUACUGUCUUGAAACUUGACCCAGAUAGUCAAGAAACCUGCUCUGACUCAUGGCCCUUGCUCAGCCCUGCUCAACCAGGCUGGCCACAGGAGAUGGCAGAGGCAGUCAGAUGCCAGGACCCCUCUUCCAAAGAUGAACCGGGAGCCCAUUUUGUGCACAGUGGGGUAAGCUGUCACCUGCAACACCGGUAACCCAUGUGAGCACCUGUUUGAGUCCUGGCUCAUCCAUCUCCAAUCCAGUUUCCUAACACACCUAGAAAAUCAGUGGGGGAUGGCCCAAGUGU